AGCCAAGCAGUGAUGCCUAAUACACGCAUAGUUCAUCCGACGUGGGCUUACUACCCGCAAUGCUGAACUAGAAUUGUCUUUCGCUCCUAUCUGAGCUUGGAU
rnacentral:snoRNA from 1 species